GACGUAGGGCGCGAGCGUUGUCCGGAUUUAUUGGGCGUAAAGAGCUCGUAGGCGGCUUGUUGCGUCGACUGUGAAAACCCGCGGCUUAACUGCGGGCUUGCAGUUGAUACGGGCAGGCUGGAGUUCGGUAGGGGAGAUCGGAAUUCCUGGUGUAGCGGUGAAAUGCGCAGAUAUCAGGAGGAACACCGGUGGCGAAGGCGGAUCUGUGGGCCGAGACUGAGGCUGAGGAGCGAAAGCGUGGGGAGCGAACAGG
rnacentral:rRNA from 1 species